rnacentral:rRNA from 1 species
GACGAACCGUGCGAACGUUGUUCGGAAUCACUGGGCCUAAAGGGCGCGUAGGCGGAUCAUCAAGUCCGGGGUGAAAGCCUCCAGCUUAACUGGAGAAGUGCCUUGGAUACUGGUGAUCUCGAGGGAGGUAGGGGCAUGCGGAACUUCCGGUGGAGCGGUGAAAUGCGUAGAUAUCGGAAGGAACGCCGGUGGCGAAGGCGGCAUCCUGGACCAACACUGACACUGAGGAGCGAAAGCCAGGGGAGCAAACGGG